rnacentral:rRNA from 1 species
GACGAACGCUGGCGGCACGCCUAACACAUGCAAGUCGAACGGACUUACAAGAGCUUGCUUUUUUCAGUUAGUGGCGGACGGGUGAGUAACACGUGAGCAACCUGCCUCUGAGAGGGGGAUAGCUUCUGGAAACGGAUGGUAAUACCCCAUAAAAUAUAAAUAUCGCAUGAUAGAUAUAUCAAAGAAAUUCGCUCAGAGAUGGGCUCGCGUCUGGUUAGAUAGUUGGUGAGGUAACGGCUCACCAAGUCGACGAUCAGUAGCCGGACUGAGAGGUUGAACGGCCACAUUGGGACUGAGACACGGCCCAGACUCCUACGGGAGGCAGCAGUGGGGAAUAUUGCACAAUGGAGGGAACUCUGAUGCAGCGAUGCCGCGUGGAGGAAGAAGGUUUUCGGAUUGUAAACUCCUUUUAUCAGGGACGAUAAUGACGGUACCUGAAGAAAAAGCUCCGGCUAACUACGUG